rnacentral:misc_RNA from 1 species
UUUCCGUAGGUGAACCUGCGGAAGGAUCAUUAGCGAGUGUUGGUCUCUCAGGCCCGCCAUCCCCCUCUGUGUCUUUGUGACCUUGUUGCUUUUGCGGGUCCGCUUCUGUGACAGGCCGCCGGAUUUUCAUCGCUUUUGUUACGUGCCUGCCAGAAGUCCCCCUAAAUUCAUUGUAAACCUUUCGUCUGGGACCAGUUAUGAUAACAAAAAAUUUCAACAACGGACGUCUUAAUUCCGGCAUCGAUGAAGAACGCCGCAUAUCGUCAGAUGACACGACAA